rnacentral:rRNA from 1 species
GACGAACGCGGCGGCGUGCCUAAUACAUGCAAGUAGAACGCUGAAGGAGGAGCUUGCUUCUCCGGAUGAGUUGCGAACGGGUGAGUAACGCGUAGGUAACCUGCCUGGUAGCGGGGGAUAACCAUUGGAAACGAUAGCUAAUACCGCAUAACAGUAGAUGUUGCAUGACAUUUGCUUAAAAGGUGCAAUUGCAUCACUACCAGAUGGACCUGCGUUGUAUUAGCUAGUUGGUGGGGUAACGGCUCACCAAGGCGACGAUACAUAGCCGACCUGAGAGGGUGAUCGGCCACACUGGGACUGAGACACGGCCCAGACUCCUACGGGAGGCAGCAGUAGGGAAUCUUCGGCAAUGGACGGAAGUCUGACCGAGCAACGCCGCGUGAGUGAAGAAGGUUUUCGGAUCGUAAAGCUCUGUUGUAAGAGAAGAACAGGUGUGAGAGUGAAAAGUUCACACUGUGACGGU